UCCCCUCAGCAGCCUCCUGUGCUCUAGACAGACAGAUUGCUUCCGGCAAUGUAUCAGUGCUCAUUCUUAACAAGUCUGUACAAAUUGAGGCGUCGCUGGGACAGAGAGGACGAGUCGGAAACGCGAAGCGCGUCACUGAUAACAUCACAGCGGUAUACGCUUGUUGUCCUAGCUAAACAUGAGCACAAUUCUCCUUAGCAUUUUAAGCCCUCGCCUACCCAAACUCGUGAUUUGUUGGGAGAGCUGUCUGUCUGAAGAGGACUCUCUCUGGGAUACGUUUUUAGUAUGUCCCUUUCGAAAUGACAGAGAGAAUCCGACAUCCUCCCCAGACGUUGUGCCGUUUACAAUGCUCCAAGGUCUGGGAUAUCAGAGACUAGGGACUGCUGGGACCUUGUACAACCAGGUAUGCAGACGAGGAGGCAUACGAUGGCAUGUCAAUUGCUAUUGGUAUGUUUUGCAGAUCACAUUUACCAUCUUCCUCUCUUACCUCUUCAAUGAAUAUCCCAUAAGCCACAUUAUGGACAAGACUUCCCCUUCCCUACACCUUGAUGAAUAUAACAGGAAACCUGUUCGAUCACCAUGCACUGCAAAAUCAUUCUGGCUAUGGAUACGGAGAACCUCAAGACAUUAACAUCAACACGCCAGAGGAUAUACCCAUUAUACUAGGGGCUCUGCUGGGAGUAUACCUCAUAUUUAGAUUUUUUUAUUCUGCCUUGCCGCUAAAAUCAUAAUAAACACAACACUGACAACUAAAA